GUUGGUGAUAUACCAGGGGUUGUGAAAAGAACCUUUUUUCUAAUUGGUAGGACAGAUUCUUUUAUGAUUCCUAAAGUGGAAGAAAUAAAAUAUCUGUGCUACGUUAUUUUUUUUGGAUUGAAAAUUUUAAUCCUCAGUGAACCAGGGCAGAAAAGAAUGAUGAAAUCCUUGAGAGUUUUACUGGUGAUCCUGUGGCUUCAGUUAAGCUGGGUUUGGAGCCAACAGAAGGAGGUGGAGCAGGAUCCUGGACCCUUCAGUGUUCCAGAGGGAGCCACCGUCACUUUCAACUGCACUUACAGCAACAGUGCUUCCCAGUCUUUCUUCUGGUACAGACAGGAUUCCAGGAAAGAACCUAAGUUGCUGAUGUCUGUAUACUCCAGUGGUAACGAAGAUGGAAGGUUUACAGCACAGCUCAAUAGAGCCAGCCAGUAUAUUUCCCUGCUCAUCAGAGACUCCCAGCUCAGUGAUUCAGCCACCUACCUCUGUGCAGUGCGUACACAGUGCUCCCCAGACACCUGCAGUCUGUACCCAAACCUGCUGUGCCCCAGGAAUGCCUGAUGUAGAGCUUAGACUGCAGGGCAGUCAACUUGUCUUUGCUUUCCAGAUUCAAGUGGAAAUUAAGAGUACUAGUAUGGAGGACUGAUUGAUCAGGGAAGUAUUAUUAUAAUUCUGAAAAUAAUUAAGACCCUGAAGGAAAAUGAAAGGUACAAUCUUGGUCUGGUUAAAAUGUUUUCUAGUAUUCUCUUUCUACUUUAGUUUUAAAAUAUUUUUUAUGU